CAAGACCGUGAGGUGGAGCAAAACUCAAAAACUUAGUCUCAGUUCGGAUUGUAGGCUGAAACUCGCCUACAUGAAGCUGGAGUUGCUAGUAAUCGCGAAUCAGCAUGUCGCGGUGAAUACGUUCCCGGGCCUUGUACACACCGCCCGUCACACCAUGAGAGUUGGCAAUACCCAACGUACGUGAUCUAACCCGCAAGGGAGGAAGCGUCCUAAGGUAGGGUCAGCGAUUGGGGUGAAGUCGUAACAAGGUAGC
rnacentral:rRNA from 1 species